rnacentral:tRNA from 1 species
GGCCACGUAGGCAAGCGGCUAAGCCACUCGGUUUCGCAGCCCGAGGAUCGCGGGUUCGAGUCCCGCCGUGGCCUCCA